rnacentral:rRNA from 1 species
GACGAACGCUGGCGGCGUGCUUAACACAUGCAAGUCGAACGGAGAGGCCCUGCUUUUGUGGGGUGCUCGAGUGGCGAACGGGUGAGUAACACGUGAGUAACCUGCCCUUGACUUUGGGAUAACUUCAGGAAACUGGGGCUAAUACCGGAUAGGAGCUCCUGCUGCAUGGUGGGGGUUGGAAAGUUUCGGCGGUUGGGGAUGGACUCGCGGCUUAUCAGCUUGUUGGUGGGGUAGUGGCUUACCAAGGCUUUGACGGGUAGCCGGCCUGAGAGGGUGACCGGCCACAUUGGGACUGAGAUACGGACCAGAGUCCUACGGGAGGCAGCAGUGGGGAAUAUUGCACAAUGGGCGGAAGCCUGAUGCAGCAACGCCGCGUGCGGGAUGACGGCCUUCGGGUUGUAAACCGCUUUCGCCUGUGACGAAGCGUGAGUGACGGUAAUGGGUAAAGAAGCACCGGCUAACUACGUG